GUCUAUGGCCAUGCCACCCUAAACAAGCCUGAUGUCUGAUCUCAGAAGCUAAGCAGGGUUGGGUCUGGUUAGUACUUGGAUGGGAGACCACCUACGAAGGUGCUGUAGGCA
rnacentral:rRNA from 1 species